GACGUAGGGCGCGAGGCGUUGUCCGGAUUUAUUGGGCGUAAAGGAGCUACGUAGGCGGCUUGUUGCGUCAGCGUGUGAAAACCGCAGCUCAACUGUGGGCUUGCAGCUGAUACUGGGCAGGCUUGAGUUCGGUGAGGGGAGACUGGAAUUCCUGGUGUAGCGGUGAAAUGCGCAGAUAUCAGGAGGAACACCAAUAGCGAAGGCAGCUCGCUGGGACGGUACUGACGCUGGAGGCGACGAAAGCGUGGGGAGCGAACAGG
rnacentral:rRNA from 1 species